GACGAACGCUGGCGGCGUGCUUAACACAUGCAAGUUGAACGGAAAGGCCCUGCUUUUGUGGGGUGCUCGAGUGGCGAACGGGUGAGUAACACGUGAGUAACCUGCCCUUGACUUUGGGAUAACUUCAGGAAACUGGGGCUAAUACCGGAUAGGAGCUCCUGCUGCAUGGUGGGGGUUGGAAAGUUUCGGCGGUGGGGAUGGACUCGCGGCUUAUCAGCUUGUUGGUGGGGUAGUGGCUUACCAAGGCUUUGACGGGUAGCCGGCCUGAGAGGGUGACCGGCCACAUUGGGACUGAGAUACGGCCCAGACUCCUACGGGAGGCAGCAGUGGGGAAUAUUGCACAAUGGGCGGAAGCCUGAUGCAGCAACGCCGCGUGCGGGAUGACGGCCUUCGGGUUGUAAACCGCUUUCGCCUGUGACGAAGCGUGAGUGACGGUAAUGGGUAAAGAAGCACCGGCUAACUACGUG
rnacentral:rRNA from 1 species